rnacentral:rRNA from 1 species
AUUGAACGCUGGCGGCAUGCCUUACACAUGCAAGUCGAACGGCAGCACGGGAGCAAUCCUGGUGGCGAGUGGCGAACGGGUGAGUAAUAUAUCGGAACGUGCCCAGUAGUGGGGGAUAACCGGCGAAAGUCGGACUAAUACCGCAUACGACCUACGGGUGGAAAGCGGGGGAGUCGCAAGACCUCGCGCUAUCGGAGCGGCCGAUAUCAGAUUAGCUUGUUGGUGGGGUAAAAGACCUACCAAGGCGACGAUCUGUAGCUGGUCUGAGAGGACGACCAGCCACACUGGGACUGAGACACGGCCCAGACUCCUGCGGGAGGCAGCAGUGGGGAAUUUUGGACAAUGGGCGCAAGCCUGAUCCAGCCAUGCCGCGUGCGGGAAGAAGGCC